rnacentral:tRNA from 1 species
CACUGGUUGCUAAGUCGUUGAAGCAGGUAGGUGCGCUUCGAUUCCGAUCCGAGGGUCGGGAGUUCGAAUCUCUCCGAGUGCGCCA